rnacentral:lncRNA from 1 species
UAGCCGCAUAAACUGGAGAAUAAUCUUAUGCAUAUGCAUGGGGGACUCAAACCUCCCACUCAUAUACUAAGGUGACAUGGUCACCUGAUCAAGCAGUAUAAUAUAAGGGACUAAAACCUCCCAACUUAUGCAUUAUAGGAGACUUGUAUUGUAUCUCCUGAUCAUAGUAAGCAAGAGGACUUGAACCUCAAGACGUUUUGAC